AGCAACAUUUCAACCAGGUAUGAGCAUGUGUUUAAGAUGGAACAAGAGAGAUAUACAAAAGAAGGGAUUGACUGGAGCUACUUAGAAUUUGUGGAUAAUCAAGAUGUACUUGAUCUAAUUGAAAAGAAACCAGGUGGAAUCAUUGCUCUUCUUGAUGAAGCUUGCUAUGAAAAAGUUUUCUCUUUCUCUCUCUCUCUCUCUCUCUCAUGUGAAUUCAUGUAACUCUUGUGUACUACACAUAAAUGCACUGCAUUCUUGUUUUUUGUUUACAAAUGCAAAUAAAGUGUAUAUAGAUUCACUUA